GAUGAACGCUGGCGGCGUGCCUAAUACAUGCAAGUCGAGCGAACAGACGAGGAGCUUGCUCCUCUGACGUUAGCGGCGGACGGGUGAGUAACACGUGGAUAACCUCCCUAUAAGACUGGGAUAACUUCGGGAAACCGGAGCUAAUACCGGAUAAUAUAUUGAACCGCAUGGUUCAAUAGUGAAAGACGGUUUUGCUGUCACUUAUAGAUGGAUCCGCGCCGCAUUAGCUAGUUGGUAAGGUAACGGCCUACCAAGGCAACGAUGCGUAGCCGACCUGAGAGGCUGGUCGGCCGCACUGGAACUUGACCACGGUCCAGACUACUACGAGAGGGCGCAGUAGGGAAUCUUCCGCAAUGGGGGAAAGCCUGACGGAGCAAACCCGAGUGAGAUAUGGAAGCCUUCCGAUCGGAAAACCCUGUUUUUAGGGAAGAACAAAUGUGUAAGUAACUAUGCACGUCUUGACGGUACCUAAUCAGAAAGCCACGGCUAACUACGUG
rnacentral:rRNA from 1 species